GAAAUGCGAUAAGUAAUGUGAAUUGCAGAAUUCAGUGAAUCAUCGAAUCUUUGAACGCACAUUGCGCCCGCCAGUAUUCUGGCGGGCAUGCCUGUUCGAGCGUCAUUUCAACCAUCAAGCCCCGGGCUUGUGUUGGGGACCUGCGGCUGCCGCAGGCCCUGAAAACCAGUGGCGGGCUCGCUGUCACACCGAGCGUAGUAGAUUCUCAUCUCGCUCAGGGCGUGCUGCGGGUUCCGGCCGUAAAACAGCCUUAUUUUACCCAAGGUUGACCUCGUAUCAGGUAGGAAGACCCGCUGAACUUAAGC
rnacentral:misc_RNA from 1 species